rnacentral:rRNA from 1 species
CCUACGGGAGGCAGCAGUGGGGAAUUUUGGACAAUGGGCGAAAGCCUGAUCCAGCCAUGCCGCGUGAGUGAAGAAGGCCUUCGGGUUGUAAAGCUCUUUCAGCCGGAAAGAAAUCGCGCAGGCUAAUACUCUGCGUGGAUGACGGUACCGGAAGAAGAAGCACCGGCUAACUACGCGCCAGCAGCCGCGGUAAUACGUAGGGUGCGAGCGUUAAUCGGAAUUACUGGGCGUAAAGCGUGCGCAGGCGGUUAUAUAAGACAGAUGUGAAAUCCCCGGGCUCAACCUGGGAACUGCGUUUGUGACUGUAUGACUAGAGUACGGCAGAGGGAGGUGGAAUUCCGCGUGUAGCAGUGAAAUGCGUAGAUAUGCGGAGGAACACCGAUGGCGAAGGCAGCCUCCUGGGCCAGUACUGACGCUCAUGCACGAAAGCGUGGGGAGCAAACAGGAUUAGAUACCCUGGUAGUCCACGCCCUAAACGNUGUCAACUAGUUGUUCGGUGUAGGAGACUCUAUGUAGUAACGACGAGACGUACGACGUGGUAAGGUUAGUACCGUUCCGUUCGGGGUAGGUUACGGGUUCCGGCCGAACGGUUAAACGUUACGAAGGAAGUUAGACGGCGUUGAGACGNGCCGACGGACGACGACGAGGGAGGAGG